CCAUCCACCUGUGCGUAAUCUAUUUUUAAAUGUGCUGCACGCAAACAGAAACUAUCAGCUGUUUCCACCGAACGAGUUGGAAUUAACUCUUUAAAGUCGGACUACAAUGGCAAAGAAAGAGCAAGCAUUUAGCUUUUAACAACUUCUGCUACACAGACCAAGAAAGGGAGACAGUAGUUGAAAAUGGAACGACCAAAAGUGGUUGGAUCAAGCAAGAGGACAAACUCCAGUGAAUGGGCCUGCAUAUCUUUCAGUGGUGGCGACAGCUGAGGGAAGCAACGCCAUGGUUGAUGUCUCUUUUGGACAGUGAGUCAUCCUCCGAAGGUCAGCAAAUGGCAACCCUGUUUACUGAGCUUUUCGUGCCUACCAAGAGUUCCCAAACCCCCGGCCCUCCACUCCAGACCUCAUGGUGAAGAAGUCUGCACGGCAGGACCAGAGGGCAUACACACCGAGACUUUGCAUCAAGCUAACCGUGCUAAAAGUGAGUGGCUUUGAAAUGCACUGGAUAGAAGAUGGAAGACAAAGAGAGAAGAGUGGUUGUUGUGAUUCUGACGUGCGUGGCCAAUCGGAUCAAGCGGAUGCACUGAUUUUGACUGCACGGAAGAGUUACAGUUACUCAUGCGGAUGGACUGAUGCCAUACUGAGCCAGCUGACUGGUUGGAGAUAGCCCGGCUCUAAAAGCCUCUGUCCAUGGUGCUGAAGGCUGGCCUGAUGUAUGAGUGCUACGCCCUGCUUGAUAAAUCCACUAUGUCACUCUGCCUCUGACAGCCAUUCAUCAUGCCCGGCUUUCUCAUGUGAAAUGUUCUGUGUGCCGGAUAAUUCAGCGAGACAAAUAAA